AGAAUCAACGCUGGCGGCGUGCCUAACACAUGCAAGUCGAACGAGAAAGUGGAGCAAUCCAUGAGUACAGUGGCGUACGGGUGAGUAACACGUGACUAACCUACCCUCGAGUGGGGAAUAACCUCGGGAAACCGGGGCUAAUACCGCAUAACAUCUUCGGAUCAAAUGCGUAAGCAGCUUGAGGAGGGGGUCGCGGCCGAUUAGCUAGUUGGCGGGGUAAUGGCCCACCAAGGCAAUGAUCGGUA
rnacentral:rRNA from 1 species